CGGCGUGGAUUAGGCAUGCAAGUCGUGCGACAAGUCUUCUUUAGCUUGCUAUUGAAGAUGGAGGAGCGGCGAAAGGGUGAGUAACGCGUGGAUAUCUGCCCCCAGGCCCGGGAUAGCGUCGGGAAACUGGCGGUAAUACCGGAUAAUAUCUCCGGAUCAAAGGUGUGAUUCCGCCUGGGGAUGAGUCCGCGUCCUAUUAGCUUGUUGGUGGGGUAAAGGCCCACCAAGGCGAAGAUGGGUACCGGGUGUGAGAGCAUGGCCCGGCACACUGGGACUGAGACACUGCCCAGACACCUACGGGUGGCUGCAGUCGAGAAUCUUCCGCAAUGGGCGCAAGCCUGACGGAGCGACGCCGCGUGCGGGAUGAAGGCCCUCGGGUUGUAAACCGCUGUCAGUGGGGAGCAAAUCCCAAGGGGUUAUCCUCUUGGGUUGAGCGAUCCGCAGAGGAAGCGCAGGCUAAGUUCGUGCCAGCAGCCGCGGUAACACGAACUGCGCGAACGUUAUUCGGAAUCACUGGGCUUAAAGAGUCC
rnacentral:rRNA from 1 species